UCACUGCUUGCGCAGGCAGUCUCGCUAGAGUCCCCGCCAUUACGCGCUGGUAACUAGCAACAGGGGUUACGCUCGUUGCGGGACUUAACCCAACAUCUCACGACACGAGCUGACGACAGCCAUGCAGUACCUCGCUAGGCGCCCUUGCGGGAAACUCCCUUUCAGGAGCGGUCGCCUAGCGUUCGAGCCUAGGUAAGGUUCUUCGCGUUGCAUCGAAUUAAGCCACAUGCUCCACCGCUUGUGCGGGCCCCCGUCAAUUCCUUUGAGUUUCAACCUUGCGAUCGUACUCCCCAGGUGGGAUGUUUAACGCGUUAGCUUGGACACUGCCCCUCAGAGGAGGCAACGUCUAACAUCCAUCGUUUACGGCGUGGACUAC
rnacentral:misc_RNA from 1 species